UCCCAUAUGGUCUAGUGGUCAGGAUUCUUGGUUUUCACCCAGGGGCUCGGGUUUGACUCUGGUAUGGGAA
rnacentral:tRNA from 1 species